GAUGCGGGGCUCGAACUCACGGACCAUGAGAUCAUGACCUGAGCUGAAGUCGGCCGCUUAACCAACUGAGCCACCCAGGCGCCCCAGAGGCUCUGUUCUUAAUGACUAAAUUAUAUGGCCAAAGGAGUGAGAGAUUGAAUGAAUGAACGAACAAAUGAACGAAUGAACGAACGAACAGAAUGAAUGACUUCUCUACCAGUCUGGGAGUUCAUGGAGGGGUAGUGUUGUCUCAGUCCCGUGAGUAUUCCUGGAACAAAGCAGGUGCUUAGAAAUGCUUGCAGAAUUAAAUUACAUCCUGCAGGCACCGAUUCUGACAUUUGGUAGGCCCUUUUACCACAUAAAAUACUUCCCUCCUGUUUUGGCCCAUCGUGACCACAAUUAGUUCUCUUAGCCAAAAAAGCCCUUUGUCCCUUGGCUGAGGUUCAGACCCUGCUGCUUUCAGCCAGACUGGGCAACAAAAAAGAGCUUCAGAAGGAAGGACAACAGUCACUUUCUUUCUGCAGGACUCCUCCCAAGCUGUUUAAGCUUCUCUCCGUGUCCCUUGAUUUUAAACCUUUCUGCUUUCUUUGCUCUGCAGGAUUCCAGCUGACAGCGCCAGAGGUGACUCUGGCUGGGAAGUAUCAGGAGAGUAGGGGUAAAAUUUGGGGGGAAUCCUUCCCCCAGAAAAUACUGAUAUGUCAUGGGCUUUUCCCCCCUGCAUUUUAUGAAAGAUAUUCCAGAGCCAGAUAGUGGAGCAGUGUCAAAGAAAGAGCAAUGUGGUCCCUACAAAACAGCCGUUGUGUAGCAGCAAACUUGUCCAUGGCAGGUUAAGUCUGGAGCCAGAGCCCUGAAAACUCCUUCUAAUACUGUCACACCUGAGCCUCUGCCCUUAAGGUUUUUCAUAUCAGCACAUGUUGAGUGUCAGAAAACUGCAGGUACCAGCUCUGUCACUGAUGAACCAUGCCACACUAGGCAAGUCGCUGAGCUUUUCUGAGCACCAUAUUAUCCAUUACAUCGACAUGCUAAAUCCUGGAAUUCAGAAUGUAAUGAGAAAUAAGCAAGAUAUUUAUUACCUUUGUGAAAUCCUUUCUGAUUUUAAUAGUUCGUCUUUAUACAUGUGAUAGUACCUCAUAGUAUUAUAUACAGACACACCCAGAAAGCAGGUAAAAACUGGUGAGAUCUGAAUAAGAUCUGUAGUAGAAACUGACCAAUGUCAAUUUCUUGCUUUUGAUGAGGCGCUCUGGUAAUCGAAGAUGUUACCAUUGGAAGAAGCUGGGGAGGGAGACAUGGAAAUGCUCGGCAUUAUUUAGCUUUUAUUUUAAGUCUAACGUUAUUUCAAACUAAGAAAUUUUUAGUUCGUUUCUGCUGUUUCCCCCCCUCCCUUUUACACCUUCUGAAUGUUUCCGAUAGAAGUUAGGACUGGGGUAUCUGCUUUUCAGAAGGACUCUGUGCUCCCUGAGGUCACAAUUACUUUCUUCUCUGUUAUUACUCACUUGCCUGGAAUAGAGCCUGGCACAGAGUUCGUGUUCACAAACGUUUACCAGUUCUUUCAGCCCAGAAUAUCAAGAUAAGCAACCUCUCAUUCUAGAAACUGCUGUCUCUGGAAAUGUUUUAAGAAAAUUCAUGUUUAUUGGGAGCCUUUUUGUGACAGGUAUUUUCUACAAAGUUCUCUUAGUUAAUUUCCAUAGCAACCUUAGGAGGUACCAACUCUAAUUCCCAUUUUACAAAUGAGGGAACUGAGUCUCAGAAAGCUCAAUCUACUUGCCCAAGAGGAGAAGCAUGGAGGUAGAUUCAAGCUUUGAGUUCAUCUGGCUCCAAAGUCCCUUUUAUUUCAUUCAUUCAUUCAUUCAUUCAACUUGUGUUUAUGGAGCAUCUGCUAUUGUUGUCAGGGACCAUUCUCAGACCUUAGAAUAUAAUCAGGAACAAAUAGACAAUGAUUGUGGCCUUUGUGUGGCUGACAUUCUAGUGAUGCAAUACUGAUAAUACAGAGUAAACAGAGUAAAACAGAGUAACGACCUGGGUGGACACAAACGAGAAAGAAGAGAAGGGAAAGGAAACGGAGACUGUAGGUCUGGGGGCAAUUCGUAGCACGAGAAAAGAUGUGCAGGGGAGGCCUUGUUGAAAAUACAAGAUUCGAGCAGGGCCGAGUGUGACACAGGAGUGCUGGGGUUACCCAAGCAGAUCUUUGGGAAAAUAACAUUCAGGUAGAGGAACGGCUAAAUGAAAGCCCUCAGGCCAUGGAUAUAGGUCUGGUGUACGUGAGGACAGGCAAGGUGGCUGUUUUGGCUGGGCCAAACACACGUGGGAGGUAGCAGGAAUGCUGAGGGAUGGAGAGUAGAUCAUAGGAGACCAUAAAGAUCGUUGAAGAACUUUGUGGGGACUUUGGUUUUGCUCUGAGAUGGUAGCCACUGCAGGGUUGGAGCAAAGGAGUGACAUAAGUUGACUCAAGCUUCACGGGCUUUCUCCGAUCGCUGUUUAGAGGCCAGGGCUAAAGGGGCCGGGUCGGAAGCAAGGAGACCAGCUGAAAGGCUGUUGCAACAUUCCAAGCUAGACAAGCUAGAUGGUGGCUUCGGCAAAGCCAGGGAGUGGAAGAGUCGCCUUUCUCCCUGCGUGGCCUCUCUCACCAGAUGACAGCCGGCCUCUCACACGUGUUUACAGAACCUCAAGCAAUGGCUUUCUCCUGCACAAGGUGGACUUUCCUUUCCUCCACUCCGCCUGUGUGGCUGAGAUUCUCAUUCCUUCUGCUCCCCCUGCCCCCCUCUGCUACUUCCCACACAACCGCCCUGUGCCUGGCCCUGCACGUCCCGCCCUCUCCCUCUUCUGCCGCCCUCUUUGCGACCCGGGACUUGCUCGCGGUGGCCCCGCGGCUUGCUCUCGCCUGUCGGUCUUGGUUGCUUGCUGUCACCUUCUCAGACACCUGUCUGCCCCGGUGUCCCAUCCGUUGUGAAACAAAAGGCCUGAGUAUGCUAACGGCUGCGUGCAGGCACACGGCACGUCCUCCUUUGGUUCACCCCGAAGCCAGAAGGAUGGCAGACCGACCCCCGGUUUGCACUUCUGCCAGCCGAUGGGAAUCCGAGCCUGGCUUAGGGGAACGUGUGAGCCCCGGGGGCAAACACGUGGAGCACGGCACUGAACACGGGGAAGAGAUAAGGGAUUUUGUUCGUGCAUGGUGAUGUCAGGCGCUCAGAACCCAGGAUCUUGUGUAGUCUUCCCACGGACUCUGGAUAGGUGCUAUCCUUCCUGCUUUCCAGGUGAGGGACUGAAAGAUAAAGUAGCCUGCACCGAGCCUGCCGCCAACUCUGUUAUAGGGGUGCAGGAGAGCAGAGAGCAGAAGGGGAUGUCACAUCUGGAGGCAACGGAGGCCUUUAUUUUCAAAAAAAGGCAAUAAAAGGAAAGGCUUGGUUUCUCAGGUCGGGGCAUGAUUGAGUCAACGAGUCAAACCGGCGAGGUCUUCUGUGCCUCAGCCAGUGCCAGGCCCUAGAGAUGUGGACAUCUAAACCAGAGUUUCCCACAGCCUGUUCUGGGUGCUUCUCUUUGGCCCACGGAGGGAAGGGGUGUGCAACUGCUUUCCCAUGACAGUAAAAUGCAGCUAAGCAGAAAGGACAUGGGGCUCAGGGCUGGAAAAGACAUUUAUGACAACCAGGAAAUGGAAUCCAUUUGGCCCAGUCCAGCUCCACGUGACAAGUUGGGGCAAGAGUUCCAUCUAACGAUAAAAUAACUCCUUUUCGUUGCAUGUGGUUAGGUCUUCCCCGGGCCCCACAAGGUGCAGGGCUCCAGGGCAGGUGGGUUGUGUCUGGGGUGCAGGAGUGCUCCGAGAAGGGUGGUGCCCGGGUAGCUCUGCCUUGUGCACUAACCAUCCAGUUAGAAGACCAUUUACACCUUGUCAGUAUUUUAAAAAACUGGUAAUUCUCUCCCCUCCGGUGCAUUAUUUCCACCUUACCGAAUCUGGAAAGGAGGCCAAAGAAGUUGCCGAAGAAGUUGGCAUUUUCAAAGCCAAGAGCCCUUUUUCUUCUGCUGCAGGAGCCUUCUGGAUGCUGGUGGCAGGGCUUCCUGCCUAAGAGAGAGGGCUUCCUGUCUCCUAAGAGAGACUUCACUGGGGGUGCCAUUCACCUCCCCCUCUCAAUCUUCCCUACAAUCGUGUGUGUGACAGCAAGGACUCAUGUUGACUCCUUAUCCUUUCUGUGAGCCUCAGCCAUUUGAUCAUGACGGUUUUCCUCCUAGUUGUUGAAGAUUCCUUUUCUUCAGGUGUGAGCCUUUUAAGGACGGAGCUUAGCCUGGAACCACGGGGAUAUCCUCAGAUGGACAUACCUGCAGUCUCCAGAGUGGCUUUUCCCCUGGAACGAAUAGCUCACGCUUCACUCUUGGGCAAAGGCUCCUGCUGCUCAUAAACAUAUGACCAUGGCCUACAUGCACACUGCAGGUGGUGGCACAAGCCCAGUUCCUGGUCCUUAACUUCCCUUCUGAAUGUAACUUCAUGUCUCUCCCCCCUCCCCUUGGGAAAGAGGUUAAAAACCAAAAAUAAAGUAGUGUAAUGAGUGCCCUGAA